GUCGUACUUGGUUACCUUGAAUUUAUCCAAGAAUCAGUCGAUUGGAAGCAUACCAGAGAAGAUUGCAUAUUUGAAGCACUUGGAAACUCUUGACCACUCAUGGUUACCCUCAUAUUUCAAGUCCCAUUCCUCCUAGCAUGUCUUCUCUGACUUUCUUGAACUAUCUCAACUUGUCACACAACAACUUAUCAGGACCAAUUCCAUCAACCAACCAAUUUCAUACCUUCAUGAUCCUUCAAUUUAUGAGG
rnacentral:misc_RNA from 1 species